rnacentral:rRNA from 1 species
GAUGUGAAAUCCCCGGGCUUAACCUGGGAACUGCAUUUGAAACUGGCAGGCUUGAGUCUUGUAGAGGGGGGUAGAAUUCCAGGUGUAGCGGUGAAAUGCGUAGAGAUCUGGAGGAAUACCGGUGGCGAAGGCGGCCCCCUGGACAAAGACUGACGCUCAGGUGCGAAAGCGUGGGGAGCAAACAGGAUUAGAUACCCUGGUAGUCCACGCCGUAAACGAUGUCGACUUGGAGGUUGUUCCCUUGAGGAGUGGCUUCCGGAGCUAACGCGUUAAGUCGACCGCCUGGGGAGUACGGCCGCAAGGUUAAAACUCAAAUGAAUUGACGGGGGCCCGCACAAGCGGUGGAGCAUGUGGUUUAAUUCGAUGCAACGCGAAGAACCUUACCUACUCUUGACAUCCAGAGAACUUACCAGAGAUGCUUUGGUGCCUUCGGGAACUCUGAGACAGGUGCUGCAUGGCUGUCGUCAGCUCGUGUUGUGAAAUGUUGGGUUAAGUCCCGCAACGAGCGCAACCCUUAUCC